GCCCGGAUGGUGGAAUCGGUAGACACAAGGGAUUUAAAAUCCUUCGGCGUUCGCGCUGUGCGGGUUCAAGUCCCGCUCCGGGUACCA
rnacentral:tRNA from 1 species